GAAGAUCAGAAGUUCAAAGUCAUUUUUAAUAUAUUUUAUCUAGUGAAUUUGACGUCAGCCUGGGCUAUGUAGUGUCAAAAAAAAAAAACAACCCAAAACUCAGUUACCAUCUUGAUUAUGCCACAACGCUGGGGAGGAGGCAGCAGGGCUGUGGUCUCAUGGGAGCACACCAGAUUCCAGCGCAGGCUGGACAUGCCAGGACCACGCUGCUUAGGGCAGGUCGCCUCUAAAGCUGUGUGUGACCUGUCCCUCCCUCACAGUGUUGUAAAGACUUGAAGAAAUGAGGCCCCCAGUCAUGCAUAGCCCAGGUGCUAACCGUAGAUCAGAAAGCAAACAACCACUCCUGCUCAACACCAGCUAUUCUGGAGCAGAGGGUAAGACCAAGGGAGGACAGGUUCUGGGUGGACGGUCCAAGAAGGAGCUGAGAACAGACACAGCUAGGCUUUAGCCCAAGGUGUCUGUCCCCAAGUGUCACAUUGCCCCUGCCUGCCCCUGAUAGCCCCAGCCUCUGUCCUUCUUCCCCCAGGGGCCAAAGGAAGCAAACACAUUCCCACAACCCCAGCAGAAGCUAUCCACCUGCAAUAGGCCCCUUAUGCCUCUGCCGCGUCUGGGACAGGCUCACUCCUAAAGAGUGCUCCUUGUGGCCACUUACACACGAAGAAAACCUGGCUCUGACCUGGUGAGGGUUGUCCCCCAAAGCACGGGUUUCCUGCGACUUGAGACCACGUGUCACCAGGUCUGAAAAAGUGCUUCCCCAGGGGGCAAAUGGACCAGCCUCUCCAGCAGCAAAGCUGAGUCUACAGGGGACAAAAAGAAGAAGAAGGAGAAGAAGCAGAAUAGAAGAGACAAAGCAACAGAGGAGGGGGGAAAGAAAAAAGAAAAAAAAAAAAAAAAAGCCCUUAACCACAGAAGACAGGAUCACUCCCACGAUGCAAUUCCACAUCCAACCACAGGAUGUCGCCACAGCCAGAGAUUCCUAGCAGCAGCAGCCAUGGCUAGAGAUGCCUCCAAAGCACCCAGCAACAGUUUCCAAAGCACAGCUGGCUUACACACCCUGGAGUUGAGAGCUCUGCCUGGGAAGCAGUUGCAGGAAACACUGGAUCCGGGGAGAAGCCUCCCAUAAGACCAGGGUGGAUCACAGGGGCAAGGGACCACGGCCUGGUGGAAGUCACCUGAGGGGACCACAGCCUGUGGAAGUCACCUGCAAUUCCAGUGCUGGGGAGGCAGAAACAGAUGGAUCCCUGGGACUCAUUAGCCAGGCAUCCUAGCCUAAUUGGUAACUCUCAGGCCAGUGAGAGAGAUUGUCUCAAAAAGUGCUGGGCACCUAAGGACCACCCGAGGUCCCCUCACCUUCACACACAUGUAAACAAACACAAGGGCCAACAGAAAGGGCUGAGCAUCACCGUCCUGGAACAGUGCAGAGUUCCCAUGGGAGUUUACCCAGGAACUCAGCUCCAGGAAACCAGGGUACCCUUCUCCAGACCCAAUGCUCAGGGAGAUGUCUGGACCAAGAUGUUCCACCAAUGCUGACUGGAGUCAAGGUGUGCACCAAGUGUUGUAUGCAAUGCAAGCAUAAAGGGGCCUCAUACCUGCCUGAAAUACAGCAGGAAGCAAAGCUGACCUGAGACAGGGGGUAGGGGUAGGGGUCUGGUGGAGGAUAGGUGUUUGAGAUAGGCCAGGGAGCAGGUAAAGCUGACCACUGUCAAUCAUAGUAAUGGCUGCCCUGUGAAAUGGACAUGGACUCAAAAGCAUUUGAAUUUGUUCAUAACCCUCCUACGUCUGCUCAAGAGAACAAGGCUUAAAGAAGUUAAUAAAUUCAUCUUAGACUGAA